GAUGAACGCUGGCGGCGUGCCUAAUACAUGCAAGUCGAGCGAACAGACGAGGAGCUUGCUCCUUCGACGUUAGCGGCGGACGGGUGAGUAACACGUAGGUAACCUACCUAUAAGACUGGGAUAACUUCGGGAAACCGGAGCUAAUACCGGAUAAUAUUUCGAACCGCAUGGUUCGAUAGUGAAAGAUGGCUUUGCUAUCACUUAUAGAUGGACCUGCGCCGUAUUAGCUAGUUGGUAAGGUAACGGCUUACCAAGGCAACGAUACGUAGCCGACCUGAGAGGGUGAUCGGCCACACUGGAACUGAGACACGGUCCAGACUCCUACGGGAGGCAGCAGUAGGGAAUCUGCCGCAAUGGGCGAAAGCCUGACGGAGCAACGCCGCGUGAGUGAUGAAGGUCUUCGGAUCGUAAAACGCUGUUAUUAGGGAAGAACAAACGUGUAAGUAACGGUGCACGUCUUGACGGUACCGAAUCAGAAAGCCACGGCUAACUACGU
rnacentral:rRNA from 1 species